GCAAAAAAUUUAUAAUUUGAUAGUUUAAUUACUAUUUUAGGCAUGGUUCUAGCACUGAAAAGAAUCACUGAAGCGUGGAUUCAUCUAUGGCGAUGGUGCAUUCUAGCCUUAAAUCCUUACUAAAAUUUCCGAUUGCGACCCGCUACAUUGCUAUUACAUCGUUGUCUUCUUCCUUCUGCUGGCACCACCGUAGCCGCGCCUGCUCAAUCUUCUGGGUUCACAAAGCAACGCCGACGAGGAGUUGGCCGGUAAUCAGGGAACGAGUUCAAGGAAUUAGGGCAGCAUUUCCGGAGAAUUUCAACACCGCCGCAUGUUCCAGUACCGGCGAUGAUAAUUCUACAGGCGGCCGGGAAUACUUGAUGAUGUCAGACGAGCAGCUGCUGCGGCAGUGCGAGAUGGAGACGUUCAAGUCGUCGGGCCCCGGCGGACAGCACCGCAACAAGAGAGAGUCUGCUGUGCGGCUCAAGCACCGUCCCACUGGUGUUGUUGCACAGGCCGCGGAAGAUAGGUCACAGCACAUGAAUCGGGCGUCGGCACUUAAUCGGUUGCGAGCUCAACUGGCUCUCAAAGUGAGGAACAGCAUAGAUCUUGAUGAUUACACACCUCCACAAGAGCUAAUUCAAAUACUCCCUGCAAAUUCAUCAAUUAAGGGACCCAAUUCUGGGCCUAAGAUUGGACCAAAUAAUCCAAAAUUUAUUAUGGGAAUGCAAGCAUUACUUGAUCUAAUUUUUGUUGUUGAGGGCUCUGUAUCUGACGCUGCUAAGAAGUUGGGGUAUGUGGUUAAGCACUGGGGCUUUAUCAAGGCUUAUACUAUCUGAUGAUUCUCUUAGAAUGGCUGUUAAUGAAUUCAGAACGUCUAAGGGUAUGAAACCUCUCAAGUAGGAUUACUGUCAAAUAUGAAAUCUCUCAGCGUGCUGAUAAUAUUUCAGUCUCAUGCAUCUACUUCAAGUUUAUCUGUUCUUUGGCUUGGUCCAUCAAACAUUGGAGGCAACAAACUGACUUUGCACUAAAAGAGAAUCCGCUCCUUAUUUUCUUGGCAUUUAUUGACCAUUUUGAACGAGAACUGCCAAUCAUUGAAGGAACACGCAGAUGACGGAAGUACAAAAAAACACUCCAAGUCCAAUGUUCAAGAUUUUCACUGGAGGAGCCUGGGAAUUGGUUUCAACUUUCAAUGCAGAACACUCUGAAAUCUGACCCUUUUGCCCUCUGUGGCAUGCAGGUCUGACAUUUCUGCUGGAUCUUAUUUGUCGUAUUUGUUAAUGACCUUUAGGGAAAUUCAAUGACAAAAUCUGUUUAUUUCAUUAUCGAGUAAGCACAUAAUGUGGGUCUUGGAAUACUUGUUAUCAAGGAUCUCUAUUGCGUGGUUGGACCA